UUGGUUAAGUUAGAAAGGGCGCACGGUGGAUGCCUUGGCACUAGGAGCCGAAGAAGGACGGGACUAACACCGAUAUGCUUUGGGGAGCUGUACGUAAGCGUUGAUCCAGAGAUUUCCGAAUGGGGGAACCCACUAUCUUUAGUCGGAUAGUAUCCUUACGUGAAUACAUAGCGUGAGGAAGGCAGACCCAGGGAACUGAAACAUCUAAGUACCUGGAGGAAGAGAAAGAAAAAUCGAUUUCCUGAGUAGCGGCGAGCGAAACGGAAAGAGCCCAAACCAAGAAGCUUGCUUCUUGGGGUUGUAGGACACUCUAUACGGAGUUACAAAAGAAAGUUAUAAAUGAAGCGGUCUGGAAAGGCCCGCCAAAGACGGUAACAGCCCGGUAGUUGAAAUGGCUUUCCCUCCAGAGUGGAUCCUGAGUACGGCGGAACACGUGAAAUUCCGUCGGAAUCCGGGAGGACCAUCUCCCAAGGCUAAAUACUCCCUAGUGACCGAUAGUGAACCAGUACCGUGAGGGAAAGGUGAAAAGCACCCCGGAAGGGGAGUGAAACAGUUCCUGAAACCGUGUGCCUACAAGUAGUUAGAGCCCGUUAAUGGGUGAUAGCGUGCCUUUUGUAGAAUGAACCGGCGAGUUACGAUUUGUUGCAAGGUUAAGCGGAAAAAGCGGAGCCGUAGCGAAAGCGAGUCUGAAUAGGGCGCAUAAGUAACAGGUCGUAGACCCGAAACCAGGUGAUCUACCCAUGUCCAGGAUGAAGGUAAGGUAAUACUUACUGGAGGUCCGAACCCACGCACGUUGAAAAGUGCGGGGAUGAGGUGUGGGUAGCGGAGAAAUUCCAAUCGAACUUGGAGAUAGCUGGUUCUCUCCGAAAUAGCUUUAGGGCUAGCCUCGAGGUAAAGAGUCAUGGAGGUAGAGCACUGUUUGGACUAGGGGCCCUUCUCGGGUUACCGAAUUCAGAUAAACUCCGAAUGCCAUGUACUUAUACUCGGGAGUCAGACUGCGAGUGAUAAGAUCCGUAGUCGAAAGGGAAACAGCCCAGACCACCAGUUAAGGUCCCCAAAUAUAUGUUAAGUGGAAAAGGAUGUGGGGUUGCUUAGACAACCAGGAUGUUGGCUUAGAAGCAGCCACCAUUGAAAGAGUGCGUAAUAGCUCACUGGUCGAGUGACCCCGCGCCGAAAAUGUACCGGGGCUAAACAUAUUACCGAAACUGUGGAUGAACCUCUUUAGAGGUUCGUGGUAGGAGAGCGUUCUAAGGGCGGUGAAGUCAGACCGGAAGGACUGGUGGAGCGCUUAGAAGUGAGAAUGCCGGUAUGAGUAGCGAAAGAAGGGUGAGAAUCCCUUCCACCGAAUAUCUAAGGUUUCCUGAGGAAGGCUCGUCCGCUCAGGGUUAGUCGGGACCUAAGCCGAGGCCGAUAGGCGUAGGCGAUGGACAACAGGUAGAGAUUCCUGUACCAGUGCUAAUUGUUUAACCGAUGGGGUGACACAGAAGGAUAGGGAAUCGCACGAAUGGAAAUGUGCGUCCAAGCAGUGAGUGUGAGAAGUAGGCAAAUCCGCUUCUCGCGAAGCAUGAGCUGUGAUGGGGAAGGAAAUUAAGUACGGAAGUUCCUGAUUUCACGCUGUCAAGAAAAGCCUCUAGGAAGAGUAGUACUGCCCGUACCGCAAACCGACACAGGUAGAUGAGGAGAGAAUCCUAAGGUG
rnacentral:rRNA from 1 species